GCCGGAGUGGCGGAAUUGGCAGACGCCCAAGACUUAAAAUCUUGUGGUCCGUAAGGGCCGUGCCGGUUCGAGUCCGGCCUCCGGCA
rnacentral:tRNA from 1 species